UGGGGGAUAUUGCACAAUGGGCGAAAGCCUGAUGCAGCGACGCCGCGUGGGGGAUGAAGGCUUUCGGGUUGUAAACCUCUUUCGCUAUCGAACAAGGCCCGCUUAGGGUGGGUUGAGGGUAGGUGGAGAAGAAGCGCCGGCUAACUACGUGCCAGCAGCCGCGGUAAUACGUAGGGCGCGAGCGUUGUCCGGAAUUAUUGGGCGUAAAGGGCUUGUAGGCGGCUUGUUGCGCCUGCUGUGAAAACGCGGGGCUUAACUUCGCGCGUGCAGUGGGUACGGGCCGGCUUGAGUGUGGUAGGGGUGACUGGAAUUCCAGGUGUAGCGGUGGAAUGCGCAGAUAUCUGGAGGGACACAGAUGGCGAAGGCAGGUCACUGGGCCAUUACUGACGCUGAGGAGCGAAAGCAUGGGUAGCGAACAGG
rnacentral:rRNA from 1 species